GUGGAUAGGCUGGAUGUGCAAGCGCGGUAACGCGCUGAGCUGACCAGUACUAAUCGCUCGAUCGGCUUGAUCGCUCUCAUGAU
rnacentral:rRNA from 1 species